rnacentral:rRNA from 1 species
GACGAACGCUGGCGGCGUGCUUAACACAUGCAAGUCGAACGGAAAGGCCCUGCUUUUGUGGGGUGCUCGAGUGGCGAACGGGUGAGUAACACGUGAGUAACCUGCCCUUGACUUUGGGAUAACUUCAGGAAACUGGGGCUAAUACCGGAUAGGAGCUCCUGCUGCAUGGUGGGGGGUGGAAAGUUUCGGCGGUUGGGUAUCGACUCGCGGCUUAUCAGCUUGUUGGUGGGGUAGUGGCUUACCAAGGCUUUGACGGGUAGCCGGCCUGAGAGGGUGACCGGCCACAUUGGGACUGAGAUACGGCCCAGACUCCUACGGGAGGCAGCAGUGGGGAAUAUUGCACAAUGGGCGGAAGCCUGAUGCAGCAACGCCGCGUGCGGGAUGACGGCCUUCGGGUUGUAAACCGCUUUCGCCUGUGACGAAGCGUGAGUGACGGUAAUGGGUAAAGAAGCACCGGCUAACUACGUG